rnacentral:rRNA from 1 species
AACGAACGCUGGCGGCAGGCUUAACACAUGCAAGUCGAGCGCCCCGCAAGGGGAGCGGCAGACGGGUGAGUAACGCGUGGGAAUCUACCCUGAUCUGCGGAAUAGCUCCGGGAAACUGGAAUUAAUACCGCAUAUGCCCUGAGGGGCAAAGGUUGAUCCGGAUUGGGAUGAGACCGCGUUGGAUUAGCUAGUUGGUGGGGUAAAGGCCUACCAAGGCGACGAUCCAUAGCUGGUCUAAGAGGAUGAUCAGCCACAUUGGGACUGAGACACGGCCCAAACUCGUACGGGAGGCAGCGGUGGGAAGAUUGCACAAUUAGCGCAAGCCUGGUCCAGCCAUGCCGCGUGAGUGAUGAAGUCCCUAGGGUUGUAAAGCUCUUUCACCGGGGACGAUAAUGACGGUACCCGGAGAAGAAGCCCCGGCUAACUUCGUGCCAGCCGCCGCCGUAA